UGGGGAAUAUUGCGCAAUGGGGGAAACCCUGACGCAGCGACGCCGCGUGCGGGAUGAAGGCCUUCGGGUUGUAAACCGCUUUUGAUUGGGAGCAAGCUUUCGGGUGAGUGUACCUUUCGAAUAAGCGCCGGCUAACUACGUGCCAGCAGCCGCGGUAAUACGUAGGGCGCAAGCGUUAUCCGGAAUUACUGGGCGUAAAGAGCUCGUAGGCGGUUUGUCACGUCGUCUGUGAAAUCCUAGGGCUUAACCCUGGACGUGCAGGCGAUACGGGCUGACUUGAGUACUACAGGGGAGACUGGAAUUUCUGGUGUAGCGGUGGAAUGCACAGAUAUCAGGAAGAACACCGAUGGCGAAGGCAGGUCUCUGGGUAGUAACUGACGCUGAGGAGCGAAAGCAUGGGUAGCGAACAGG
rnacentral:rRNA from 1 species